GAUACCUCAUAUGUGUGGGUAUCUGCUGUACAACUAACAGUGACAUUGAUUUUUUUUUUUUAAACGUUUUUAAUAUAGGCCUAUAUAUAUAUUUUAUUUUAUUUUACCUUGACCAGAAUACUGUUGAAAUGACACAUUGAAAUCGCGGUAAAAUACAGCUCAGUCAUACUCAUUACUCUCCGUCAAAACAACCGAAAAUGGCCAGCAGGAAACACAAUUAACUUUGUAACUCUUUUUCACUAGUUUUAGAAAUCUCUGAUCUCUUAAUUACAGGGGUAAUACCAAAGAUUCUCUAUUCUAAUUAGCAUCGUCUCUGAUAAUUCAAAUAUUCCAGGAAGUGGUUAAUCGACCGGAUGUUGUUUUGUGAUCAGUGAUGCGUUUCCAGGGGACGUUCUUUGAGGGGACACAUUACACUUUGAGGAAGUAGUGUCUUGUUCAGUGUUCACGGUUUAUAUUGCUGAAGGACAAUUACAAGUCUAAACGGAGAAGAGUCGUCAUUUCAAGGUGUUUUCGCGGACGUAUCGGCAUGUGGAUGUUGACAGUGUCGGAAGUAUUAAUCAAAGUUGACACGAGAAGUUGGAGCGAUGCGAGAAGAGCAUGCGAUGAGCUGCCUGCCUGCUGCUGUCUACUGCCUACUCCUGCUGCUGCCGCUGCUGCUGUUGCAUCCAAUUGUUGGCUCAUGACAGAUUUAUUUGAUAAGUGGAAGUGCCCGCUGAUGCAGACCCAGUGUAAGUAUACAUGCUGGCAUUGUUUUUGUGACAUUUAAUCUCAUCUAAAUCAUCAUGUUUUUGAACAGUGUUGGGUAGCCAGCCACCCAUGCAUGUUGACACAGCCAGCAGCGGGCACCCAUGGCACAUGGGGAUGGACCCAGGAGUGGAGGAUGACCCAAUAGGAUGAACGUUCAGCCCACUCACUGUUGACACCAGUGACACAGUAUUGACCAGAUCUCCUGGAAGUGCCCCCUGACGCAGACCCAGUUGUUGGGUAGCCACCCAUGCACGUUGACACAGCCAGCACCGAGCACCCAUGGGGAUGGACCCAGGAGUGGAGGAU